UACAGAGGGUGCAAGCGUUAAUCGGAAUUACUGGGCGUAAAGCGCAGGUAGGCGGUUUGGUAAGUCUUUUGUGAAAGCUCCCGGCUCAACUGGGAGAGGUCAAGGGAAACUACCGGACUAGAGUGUGGUAGGGGGAUACUGGAAUUCCUGGUGUAGCGGUGAAAUGCGUAGAUAUCAGGAGGAAUACCUAUGGCGAAAGCAGGUAUCUGGGCCAUCACUGACGCUGAGCUGCGAAAGCUAGGGGAGCAAACAGG
rnacentral:rRNA from 1 species